rnacentral:rRNA from 1 species
AGAGUUUGAUCCUGGCUCAGGAUGAACGCUGGCGGCGUGCUUAACACAUGCAAGUCGAACGGAGAACCCCUGACGGAGUUUUCGGACAACUGAAGGGAAUUCUUAGUGGCGGACGGGUGAGUAACGCGUGAGGAACCUGCCUCGGAGUGGGGAAUAACAGCCCGAAAGGGUUGCUAAUACCGCAUGAUGCAGUUGGGCCGCAUGGCUCUGACUGCCAAAGAUUUAUCGCUCUGAGAUGGCCUCGCGUCUGAUUAGCUAGUUGGCGGGGUAACGGCCCACCAAGGCGACGAUCAGUAGCCGGACUGAGAGGUUGACCGGCCACAUUGGGACUGAGACACGGCCCAGACUCCUACGGGAGGCAGCAGUGGGGAAUAUUGGGCAAUGGGCGCAAGCCUGACCCAGCAACGCCGCGUGAAGGAUGAAGGCUUUCGGGUUGUAAACUUCUUUUAUUCGGGACGAAGCAAGUGACGGUACCGAAUGAAUAAGCCACGGCUAACUACGUGCCAGCAGCCGCGGU